rnacentral:tRNA from 13 species
UUCCGACACCGGGAAUUGAACCCGGGCUUCCUGGGUGAGAGGUAAGUAUCCUAACCACUAGACCACGCCGGA